UGUCUGCCCGAGUGCCUGCCUCU
rnacentral:miRNA from 1 species